AUUGAACGCUGGCGGCAUGCUUUACACAUGCAAGUCGAGCGGCAGCGCGGGGGCAACCCUGGCGGCGAGCGGCGAACGGGUGAGUAAUGCAUCGGAACGUACCCUGGAGUGGGGGAUAACGCCGCGAAAGCGGCGCUAAUACCGCAUAUGCUCUGAGGAGGAAAGUGGGGGACCGCAAGGCCUCACGCUCUGGGAGCGGCCGAUGUCCGAUUAGCUAGUUGGUGGGGUAAAGGCUUACCAAGGCGACGAUCGGUAGCUGGUCUGAGAGGAUGAUCAGCCACACUGGGACUGAGACACGGCCCAGACUCCUACGGGAGGCAGCAGUGGGGAAUUUUGGACAAUGGGGGCAACCCUGAUCCAGCCAUGCCGCGUGAGUGAAGAAGGCCUUCGGGUUGG
rnacentral:rRNA from 1 species